CAUUGCUUUUUGAACACAUAUAAAAAGUAAUUCCUGCCCAGUGACUAAGGUUCAACGGCCGCGGUAUCCUAACCGUGCAAAGGUAGCAUAAUCACUUGCCCAUUAAUUAUGGGCUAGAAUGAACGGAUCUACGAAAUAUAGUCUGUCUCUGUAAGAUAAAUAAAAAUUAAUAUUUAAUUGAAGAAUAUUAGAUAAAAUUGAAGGACAAGAAGACCCUAUAGAGCUUUAUCCCAAUGAUAAAUAAGUUUUCACUAAGAUUCGGUUGGGGCGACCAGGGAAUUUAAUAAUCAUCCCUAAAUAUAAGAUUAAUCAAUCUAAAUAAUGACCCUUAAUCAAGAUCAUAAAAACAAGCUACCUUAGGGAUAACAGGCUAAUCCUAUUUAAGAGUCCUUAUCUAUAGUAGGGUUUGGCACCUCGAUGUUGGCUUAGGGUAUCACUAUGGCGCAAAAGUCAUAUUAAGAUGGUUUGUUCAACCAAUAAUCCCCUACAUGAUCU
rnacentral:rRNA from 1 species